rnacentral:rRNA from 1 species
AGCGAACGCUGGCGGCAGGCCUAACACAUGCAAGUCGAACGAACUCUUCGGAGUUAGUGGCGGACGGGUGAGUAACACGUGGGAACGUGCCUUUUGGUUCGGAAUAACUCAGGGAAACUUGUGCUAAUACCGAAUGUGCCCUUCGGGGGAAAGAUUUAUCGCCAUUUGAGCGGCCCGCGUCUGAUUAGCUAGUUUGUGAGGUAACGGCUCACCAAGGCGACGAUCAGUAGCUGGUCUGAGAGGAUGACCAGCCACACUGGGACUGAGAAACGGCCCAGAAUCCUACGGGAGGCAGCAGUGGGGAAUAUUGAGAAAUGGGGGAAAGGCUGACGAAGCCAUGCCGGGUGAAUGAUGAAGGUCUUAGGAUUGUAAAAUUCUUUAAACGGGGACGAUAAUGACGGUACCCGGAGAAGAAGCCCCGGCUAACUUCGUG